UAAGGAAUAUUGGUCAAUGGAGGCAACUCUGAUCCAGCAAUGCCGCGUGCAGGAUGAAGGCCUUCGGGUUGUAAACUGCUUUUGUACGGAACGAAAAGGCUCUGGUUAAUACCUGGGGCUCAUGACGGUACCGUAAGAAUAAGCACCGGCUAACUACGUGCCAGCAGCCGCGGUAAUACGUAGGGUGCAAGCGUUAAUCGGGAUUACUGGGCGUAAAGCGUGCGCAGGCGGUUAUGUAAGACAGAUGUGAAAUCCCCGGGCUCAACCUGGGACCUGCAUUUGUGACUGCAUAGCUAGAGUACGGCAGAGGGGGAUGGAAUUCCGCGUGUAGCAGUGAAAUGCGUAGAUAUGCGGAGGAACACCGAUGGCGAAGGCAAUCCCCUGGGCCUGUACUGACGCUCAUGCACGAAAGCGUGGGGAGCAAACA
rnacentral:rRNA from 1 species